GUUGAAUUUGGGUGCGUGACGUAACGGGGAAAAUAAGGGAACGAUUAUGUCUGCCAGAGAGGAGAAUGGCUGGGAGGGUUGCUAGGCUGGGUGAAGCGCAGGUCCUUGAGAAACUUCGGGAGCGCAACGGCCACCACCGCGUGUAUGUGUGGCGUCUCUCGCGAUCCCCUGCAUUCCCGCCCUACGGCAGUAGUUCUGGCCAUGAUUCCGAGCAGGGACAAGGCCCAGGAGCCCUCACUCUAACCACGAAGCUCUGUGGCCGACACCGCAGCAGUGCACAACCACGUCAGGGGACGAGUUGGGGUUAGACUGCGUGAAACCGGGACCGCAAAGUUCCUGUGCGGAACAGGGGCCGUUAAUGCGGCAGAUGCAUUCCACCUCAGUCCCUCCCUUUCUGACUCUUCCCCUCUCUGCGAGCCAACGUGCGUGUUCUCUCUCUCUCUCUCUCUCUCUCUCUCUCUCUUACGGAAGGAGCUCGGUGCCCCUAUCAUUCUACAGAACCUGGGAACCGGCAUGGCGAUUUUGUCAUUUCUCCUACAUACUAUUAUCGUUCGGGCCGUUGGAGCUGUGUUUGACGACCUGGUGAUUAAGAAGAACUGUUCGGAGCUGAGGAAGGGAGAGCGGUACCACAUCGCGACUGCAGAGAUACUGGGGUGGAGUCCAGACUCUUGCGAUCAGGAGUGGAACCUGCAGAACCACACUGUUGUGGGUUUCAUCCAGAACACAGAAAAAAGUCCAAGUGUCUACUCUCCCAUGGUGUCACUAACAAAGCAGGAGGCACAGCUGGAAUCCUGUGUCAAUGUCACCAUCACCCUGCACUGUCACAAGGUGCUCCACAUAACAUUUGUAGUUUACCCUGAUGAAACAACGGAAGAAAAAACAUCACUGAGCCUUUUCAUAAUAGUGGCCCUUCCUGUGGUGCUGCUGCUGCUGCUGCUGCUAUCUGCUAUAGUUUUCAGAAGUUGCCAGAGGAAGGACCUUACACACUUGAGGCUGGCACCAUGGUGCUGUCUCAGUCCCAGCCUCCAAAUGCUUGAGAGGCCCAGCUGCCAGGUUCCAGAUGUGUGCAUCAGUCCCCCUCAACCAGCUGUUAGAUGGUGUCAGAGAGAGGAAUUUUAUCUAACCCAAGCAGUUUGACAAUGUAACAGAUCACUUAUGAUUGGUCCUCUACAUUUGUUUUCCCCAUCUUACAAAAGUAACAGUCAGACUCACCCACACAGCCCAGCUGUGUUUCACAUCCAUUUUUACAAUGUUUUCCUAAUCUUUUAACACUUUUAUGUGAACUGCAAAGUUUAAUUAUGCAGUAAAUAUAUAUAAUAAAUACUUUUAAAUGUCUCUGGGUGUUUAAGGU
rnacentral:lncRNA from 1 species